GAAGUAAAAGUCGUAACAAGGUUUCCGUAGGUGAACCUGCGGAAGGAUCAUUAACGAAAUGCCGAAAGGCGCUUUCAAAAACUUUCCACCCCUUUGUGAACCCAAGCGUGUGGGCCGAGUACGGGUUCACGCCCCGAAGGUCCGCGCUUUUCUUAUACAUAUACACCCCAGAGAAAGUCUCAGAAUGUGCACCGCGUUAACUCGCAUAAAUACAACUUUCAGCAACGGAUCUCUUGGCUCUCGCAUCGAUGAAGAACGCAGCGAAAUGCGAUAAGUAAUGUGAAUUGCAGAAUCCAGUGAAUCAUCGAAUCUUUGAACGCAACUUGCACCCCUUGGUAUUCCGAGGGGUACGCCUGUUUGAGUGUCGUGAAUUUCUCCACCUCCAAGGUCUCUGUGACCGAAAAGGCUGGGACUUGGGGGUUUUUGCGGGCUACUGCCGUCCGCUCCCCUUGAAUGCAUGAGUGAAGGCCUCCGCCGCCUUGGUGUGAUAAUUAUCUACGCCUCGGCCGACGGGCUUCGGACUUUGCUUCCAACCGUCUCCGGACAAAACCAACCUUUGAACUUGACCUCAAAUCAGGCGGGACUACCCGCUGAACUUAAGCAUAU
rnacentral:rRNA from 1 species